rnacentral:lncRNA from 1 species
GAAGUAGAACCAUUGAGUUGAUGAAGAGUGUAAGGGUAAACUGGGAAUUUAGAGAAGAAAAAGAAUGGAAAAGAUCGAUGUGUUUUUUUGUUUUACUUUCAAGAUUCGGUCGAAAGUUCGCUAAUUUAUGGAAGUAGAACCAUUGAGGUGAUGAAGAGGGUAAGGGUAAAUUGGGAAUUUAGAGAAGAAAAAGAACGGAAAAGAUCGAUGUGUUUUUUUUAUUUUACUUUCAAGAUUAGAUCUAAAGUUGGAUAAUUUAUGGAAGGAGAACCAUUGAGGUGAUGAAGAGUGUAAGGGUAAAUUGGGAAUACAGAAAAGAUGAAAACCAAAUUUGAAUAUUUCAAUACAUUUUAUGUGUAAGCUUCAAUCUGAAGUUGGCUGAUUUAAGAAACUAUAACCAUUGAGAUGAUGAAGAGCAUAAGGGU